rnacentral:snRNA from 1 species
GGAUGAAAGGCAAACCUGGCUGUGAUAUCUGUCACCCUGUUGAUCACCAGGGUUAACUCAGCUGACCUGGCUGGUGUAAGCAAAUGUCCCCUCUCCCCCUCAUCUCUCCACAUGCAACCCUCUCAAAGCCACACACUUGGUCAAAAAGGAUGACCAUUCCUAAUGACUGUUCUUCAUAAAUG